rnacentral:rRNA from 1 species
GGGUUGUGAGGUUAAGCGACUAAGCGUACACGGUGGAUGCCCUGGCAGUCAGAGGCGAUGAAGGACGUGCUAAUCUGCGAUAAGCGUCGGUAAGGUGAUAUGAACCGUUAUAACCGGCGAUUUCCGAAUGGGGAAACCCAGUGUGUUUCGACACACUAUCAUUAACUGAAUCCAUAGGUUAAUGAGGCGAACCGGGGGAACUGAAACAUCUAAGUACCCCGAGGAAAAGAAAUCAACCGAGAUUCCCCCAGUAGCGGCGAGCGAACGGGGAGCAGCCCAGAGCCUGAAUCAGUGUGUGUGUUAGUGGAAGCGUCUGGAAAGGCGCGCGAUACAGGGUGACAGCCCCGUACACAAAAAUACACAUACUGUGAGCUCGAUGAGUAGGGCGGGACACGUGGUAUCCUGUCUGAAUAUGGGGGGACCAUCCUCCAAGGCUAAAUACUCCUGACUGACCGAUAGUGAACCAGUACCGUGAGGGAAAGGCGAAAAGAACCCCGGCGAGGGGAGUGAAAAAGAACCUGAAACCGUGUACGUACAAGCAGUGGGAGCACGCUUAGGCGUGUGACUGCGUACCUUUUGUAUAAUGGGUCAGCGACUUAUAUUCUGUAGCAAGGUUAACCGAAUAGGGGAGCCGAAGGGAACCCGAGUCUUAACUGGGCGUUAAGUUGCAGGGUAUAGACCCGAAACCCGGUGAUCUAGCCAUGGGCAGGUUGAAGGUUGGGUAACACUAACUGGAGGACCGAACCGACUAAUGUUGAAAAAUUAGCGGAUGACUUGUGGCUGGGGGUGAAAGGCCA